ACGGGAGGCAGCAGUGGGGAAUAUUGCACAAUGGGCGCAAGCCUGAUGCAGCAACGCCGCGUGAGCGAUGAAGGCCUUCGGGUCGUAAAGCUCUGUUCUGGGGGAAGAAGAAAGUGACGGUACCUCAGGAGAAAGCCCCGGCUAACUACGUGCCAGCAGCCGCGGUAAUACGUAGGGGGCAAGCGUUGUCCGGAAUUAUUGGGCGUAAAGAGUACGUAGGCGGUCUUAUAAGCGCAAGGUGAAAGGCAUAGGCUCAACCAAUGUCAGCCUUGCGAACUGUAGGACUUGAGUGCAGGAGGGGAAAGUGGAAUUCCUAGUGUAGCGGUGAAAUGCGUAGAUAUUAGGAGGAACACCAGUGGCGAAGGCGACUUUCUGGACUGUAACUGACGCUGAGGUACGAAAGCGUGGGGAGCAAACAGGAUUAGAUACCCUGGUA
rnacentral:rRNA from 1 species